GUUUUUGUCGAUUUUUUUUUUUUUCUUUCUUGUUCUUCUUUCCCCC
rnacentral:ribozyme from 1 species